ensembl:lincRNA Gm14812 predicted gene 14812
AGACCACAAGGCUCGGGGAUUGCACCGCAACAGUCCUGCCUGCGUGUCAGCACCGUGUGGGAGCAGCAGCCUGGGACUGCAUGGCCGCUUGUGUGUGAGGAGACGCGAAGGAGGGACAGAGAUGCCGGAGAUCAGCCCCACUCUCCCACAGCACCACCAUCUGGGGGAAGUCCCAGUGUCAACCUGGAAGACUGGUUGAAGUAGCAGGAGGAGGGGGAAGGGAAAGGAAGCAGAACCAGAGAUGUACCACUGUGGGGAAUGCCUGGCAGGCAGAACUCAGGCCUGACUUCUUUCUGUAUGUUCAGGUGUGGGGAUCAGGAAAGCUCCAACGAUCAACAUUCAAGUGUAUUCACAUAUGCAGGUGCAUCCCUUACCACAGGAAUAGCACUUUUCCAGUUUCUUCUAGCAAAGUGUUAAACUCAAUACAACCUGAUCAAGUUUACAGCCCAAAUAGGAGUGAUGCUCAGAGACUCCCUGCACAGUGUGGAGGCCAAAUCACAGAUUUCAAAGUGGGAGGCCAGAGAACUGAUAAUCCUUCCAGGCUGGAGCUUCACCAUCGUACAUCGUGUGGCCCUUGAAGGAGCAGCCCAGACUCCCCUAGGGCUCUCAUUAUGGUGGCCCCUAAGGUCCUGUGCAACCGUUACUAGAUGGAUGAUGCAGCUCAGGAGAAAGGGACCUGGCCCAGGUCACAUCAAAGUAAGUGGUGGUCUGUGUCAUCCCAUCGCUGCGCCACCCUCCCCCUGCCCACCCCACUUGUGUACUUGCCUGAAGCUAAGCGGCCUCCCAUUUCAAACCCAGAAGUAGAGCCUCCUGCUGCUUUUGGUGUCAAAAAGGAAGAAACUGACAGGUCCUCCAGAGACUUCAAGUUUAUGCUGGUGUUAAAUUGGGAGAGAAAUACCUCGGUGGGCCCUUGCCCCAGGGCACUAAGCGUCUCAGUGGACAAUAUCCUGGACAGUGGCUUGACAAUCCAACAGACACCGUUUACACGUGGCUGUUUGCCUCUCGUCAGAUAAUGUUUAUUUCUCUUCCUGAUUAUGAAAGGCACACAGGCAUGCCUGUUUCUUGAAAGGGCCUUUGAUAAGAGCCGAGGGCAGCACAUGAAAGAGCUGUUCUACAAGAGCCAUUCUGCCAGCGCCUACAUGCAUGUGGCCAGGGCGUUUUUUGUUUUGUUUUGUUUUUGUUUUUGUUUUUUUAAAUUUUUGUUUUGUUUUGUGUUUUGUUUGUUUGUUUGUUUUUAGGAGAUGAGGGGAACAACCCAAGGAGUGGGCUCCUGACAUGGCCCAUGGCUGCUCCCCCCUUCCCCAACAAGCAAGGCAGCUCACAGAGGUGCCCUUGUUCCCUUACUCAGUGACCCAGGCUCUGCCUGCCACUCAGGGCGUGGCCCUCUCCUCAGCCCUAGGCAUUCUCCCUUUGAGAGACUUUACCCCACAGCAUGUCAGAUAUGUGAAAAUGCACCCACAUCCCAUAUUAAAUGUAAUUUUUGCUAUAAAAUAUUUCAAAGGAUUUUUAUAAUUCCGCUUUCAAAAUUAUUUGCCUAUGAGUAAGUCGUUUCGUUCCCACUUGGCUAUGAUUUCUUUGUAAUCAUCGGGCAUACUUGGGAAUUCUUGCAAAGUGAGGAAAUCUAAGCAACAAAUUGUUUUCAAAUGUAAUGAAAUUUUUAGGAAUACUAAAUUUAACAAUUAACGAGGCUGAUAUUAUAUUAUGUUUUGUAGACAUAUAAUGGAACAUUUAUUAAUUCCAAUUCUGCUGUUUUCUUUUCAUAUUUUAGAGCCAAUAAAUGUUCUUUUUCUUGGG